AGGUCAAAAUACGCAAUGCGGCUAAAGCAACGGCGUCGUAAGUUCCUGCUUUGUUCGUUGACGAGUAACCAUUAAAGAAUCCAUUGGUGGCCGGUCUUAACUCAGGAUCGAUCAAAGCUAACUCGCCUAAAAUACUAGGAAUCAAUUAUCUACCGUCGGAAUAUGCAGAAGGUAAUAAUUUUAAAAACGGAGAACCCCUGGCACCCCAAUCAUGAUGUCUCACGUUAUUGCAAGUUCCGGAAGGAGUUCUAUACUUGCUCGGUGGACAAGGUCGCCCUGAUCUUGCUGUGCAAGGAGCACCGUUCGAUUCCAGCCUGUUCUGUAACCUAAAAGCAGAGAGAAGAAAAGUGAAAUGUCAAAAUGACGUUUUACGUGAUAUUCGAGAAACUGCUUGCUAACCGGAAUAUAAAAGAAAAAGACGAAAAAAAGGAAGAAAAAGAAA